GUGCUCGCUUUGGCAGUACAUAUACUAAAAUUGGAACGAUACAGAGAAAAUUAGCAUGGCCCCUGUGCAAGGAUGACAUGCAAAUUUGUGAAGCGUCCAUAUUUUUA
rnacentral:snRNA from 1 species